rnacentral:rRNA from 1 species
GACGUAGGAGACAAACGUUAUCCGGAGUUACUGGGCGUAAAGGGCGUGUAGGUGGUAGAGUAAGUCUGGCGUGAAAUUUUUCGGCUUAACCGGGAAAGGUCGUCGGAUACUGCUUAACUAGAGGACGGUAGAGGCGUGUGGAAUUCCGGGUGUAGUGGUGAAAUGCGUAGAGAUCCGGAGGAACACCAGUGGCGAAGGCGACACGCUGGGCCGUACCUGACACUGAUGCGCGACAGCAUGGGGAGCAAACAGG